rnacentral:lncRNA from 1 species
CCCCCAUCCCCCCUUUCUCCCCGUCACCGGCGACGACGCUCCGCUGCGCCCAUCACUUCCCAUCAGCGCCGCUCCGCGUGUGAGCGGCUCCCCCAACUGCUGUUGCACUAAUUCACGUUGCUAAUUUGCUGACAAACGCUACAGUUCCACCAAGUGGCGGGCACAUUUAUAAGACGGCGACGUUCACGGGGCCAUAAAAGCUGCCGCGCGCAAACAAGCAAUUUGACUUAGUCAUGUAGCGCUUACACUUUAUUGACUUUUAAUUUUAUUAUAGGAAUAUUGAAAUGAGGCCGACGUGGUAACUCACAGGUUACCACGUGGAUGUCAAAUAUUUACUUAACAACCUCAACUGAAACAGAGGGCCUGAUUACCAUCCUCCUUUCAAGUCACCCCUUGGCUGCCAUGGUAACCAACUUCUUGUGAAUAUUAACAGAAGAAAAAUGUUUUUAUAAUGUAAAUGAACCAGUUAUGACUGACAUUUUUCCCCACUGCUUCUGAUGCGUGAUCCUUAUUAGUGCUUUUUCGGUGACACUGGAAUUCGCUCCGUGAUGGUCGUCCGGUCAAAUCCAGGUAACCACGGAACGUGAGGCCGGAUGACUUCAUCUGUCUCCCCCCCGCUCGCUCCCCUGCUCCGCUCCUGAGCAUGUGGUUGAUGGGGUUUGAGGCGGGCAGGCCUGUCACACGCCAUCAGGGCUCCAGCGUGACGCGGGCCCCGCGGGCAAAGCGGUGGUCUGGGUCGCAUCCGCGUGAAGAACACUGUUGUUGCAGCCAUUAGGAACAAAGACGCAGCUCUGCGAGGCCCGAAGGCCGCGAAAACGCACGAAUGUGUUCCAGGAAGAGUUUUGCAUUGGAGACUGGGUUUGCAUCAGAGGCAGCGUUUUCCAUAGCAGGUGGAUUGCGUGCGUGUGUGUGUGUUUGUGUUACUGAUGAAUAUGCAACUGUGUUUGUUUAAGUGAGUGAAGUGCAUGACUCAGCCCGAGGUAGGACGGCAGCUCGUGUUUCCUCUGCUUGGCAGGCAGCAGAGAUAAGCUCGGACUGACCUGAUCAUUUAAGAAGCCCCGGGCGUCUCCCGCUGCCAAACAACACGCACAUCCAGCUCACAAAUCCUUAUCUGUCAGCGCUCAACUUUCAUCUGUCUGCGCCGAUUGAUGAUCAGCGCUCAGAUCGUCCGAUUCAAACUAAGAAAUGUAACUAAUUAGCUUGUAUCGUGACAUAUUCGCUACGCGGCGCCGGCUCAUUGUAGCAGAAAUAAGACAAUAGCGGCGACGUGGGCGCCGACAUUGCGGUGGUUAUUAUGAGCCCCCGCGAUAACAAACUCUUAUCUCACCGCUUUCACCGUGCGACUUGUGCACCGGCACCGUCAAUACUUCAAUGUGACCUUUAACAGGA